UUAAGCGACUAAGCGUACACGGUGGAUGCCCUGGCAGUCAGAGGCGAUGAAGGACGUGCUAAUCUGCGAAAAGCGUCGGUAAGGUGAUAUGAACCGUUAUAGCCGGCGAUGUCCGAAUGGGGAAACCCAGUGUGAUUCGUCACACUAUCGUUAACUGAAUACAUAGGUUAACGAGGCGAACCGGGGGAACUGAAACAUCUAAGUACCCCGAGGAAAAGAAAUCAACCGAGAUUCCCCCAGUAGCGGCGAGCGAACGGGGAGCAGCCCAGAGUCUGAAUCAGCUUGUGUGUUAGUGGAACGGUCUGGAAAGUCCGACGGUACAGGGUGAUAGUCCCGUACACCAAAAUGCACAGGUUGUGAACUCGAAGAGUAGGGCGGGACACGUGGUAUCCUGUCUGAAUAUGGGGGGACCAUCCUCCAAGGCUAAAUACUCCUGACUGACCGAUAGUGAACCAGUACCGUGAGGGAAAGGCGAAAAGAACCCCGGCGAGGGAGUGAAAAAGAACCUGAAACCGUGUACGUACAAGCAGUGGGAGCACCUUCGGGUGUGACUGCGUACCUUUUGUAUAAUGGGUCAGCGACUUAUAUUCUGUAGCAAGGUUAACCGUAUAGGGGAGCCGCAGGGAAACCGAGUCUUAACUGGGCGUUAAGUUGCAGGGUAUAGACCCGAAACCCGGUGAUCUAGCCAUGGGCAGGUUGAAGGUUGGGUAACACUAACUGGAGGACCGAACCGACUAAUGUUGAAAAAUUAGCGGAUGACUUGUGGCUGGGGGUGAAAGGCCAAUCAAACCGGGAGAUAGCUGGUUCUCCCCGAAAGCUAUUUAGGUAGCGCCUCGUGAACUCAUCUUCGGGGGUAGAGCACUGUUUCGGCUAGGGGGUCAUCCCGACUUACCAACCCGAUGCAAACUACGAAUACCGAAGAAUGUUAUCACGGGAGACACACGGCGGGUGCUAACGUCCGUCGUGAAGAGGGAAACAACCCAGACCGCCAGCUAAGGUCCCAAAGUCAUGGUUAAGUGGGAAACGAUGUGGGAAGGCACAGACAGCCAGGAUGUUGGCUUAGAAGCAGCCAUCAUUUAAAGAAAGCGUAAUAGCUCACUGGUCGAGUCGGCCUGCGCGGAAGAUGUAACGGGGCUAAACCAUGCACCGAAGCUGCGGCAGCGACACUAUGUGUUGUUGGGUAGGGAGCGUUCUGUAAGCCUGCGAAGGUGUGCUGUGAGGCAUGCUGGAGGUAUCAGAAGUGCGAAUGCUGACAUAAGUAACGAUAAAGCGGGUGAAAAGCCCGCUCGCCGGAAGACCAAGGGUUCCUGUCCAACGUUAAUCGGGGCAGGGUGAGUCGACCCCUAAGGCGAGGCCGAAAGGCGUAGUCGAUGGGAAACAGGUUAAUAUUCCUGUACUUGGUGUUACUGCGAAGGGGGGACGGAGAAGGCUAUGUUAGCCGGGCGACGGUUGUCCCGGUUUAAGCAUGUAGGCUGAUUAUCCAGGCAAAUCCGGAUAAUCAAGGCUGAGGUGUGAUGACGAGGCACUACGGUGCUGAAGUAACAAAUGCCCUGCUUCCAGGAAAAGCCUCUAAGCAUCAGGUAACAUUAAAUCGUACCCCAAACCGACACAGGUGGUCAGGUAGAGAAUACCAAGGCGCUUGAGAGAACUCGGGUGAAGGAACUAGGCAAAAUGGUGCCGUAACUUCGGGAGAAGGCACGCUGGUGUGUAGGUGAAGCCCCUGCGGGUGGAGCUGAGACCAGUCGAAGAUACCAGCUGGCUGCAACUGUUUAUUAAAAACACAGCACUGUGCAAACACGAAAGUGGACGUAUACGGUGUGACGCCUGCCCGGUGCCGGAAGGUUAAUUGAUGGGGUUAUCCGUAAGGAGAAGCUCUUGAUCGAAGCCCCGGUAAACGGCGGCCGUAACUAUAACGGUCCUAAGGUAGCGAAAUUCCUUGUCGGGUAAGUUCCGACCUGCACGAAUGGCGUAAUGAUGGCCAGGCUGUCUCCACCCGAGACUCAGUGAAAUUGAACUCGCUGUGAAGAUGCAGUGUACCCGCGGCAAGACGGAAAGACCCCGUGAACCUUUACUAUAGCUUGACACUGAACAUUGAGCCUUGAUGUGUAGGAUAGGUGGGAGGCUUUGAAGCGUGGACGCCAGUCUGCGUGGAGCCAACCUUGAAAUACCACCCUUUAAUGUUUGAUGUUCUAACGUUGGCCCCUUACCGGGGUUGCGGACAGUGUCUGGUGGGUAGUUUGACUGGGGCGGUCUCCUCCCAAAGCGUAACGGAGGAGCACGAAGGUUAGCUAAUCCUGGUCGGACAUCAGGAGGUUAGUGCAAUGGCAUAAGCUAGCUUGACUGCGAGCGUGACGGCGCGAGCAGGUGCGAAAGCAGGUCAUAGUGAUCCGGUGGUUCUGAAUGGAAGGGCCAUCGCUCAACGGAUAAAAGGUACUCCGGGGAUAACAGGCUGAUACCGCCCAAGAGUUCAUAUCGACGGCGGUGUUUGGCACCUCGAUGUCGGCUCAUCACAUCCUGGGGCUGAAGUAGGUCCCAAGGGUAUGGCUGUUCGCCAUUUAAAGUGGUACGCGAGCUGGGUUUAGAACGUCGUGAGACAGUUCGGUCCCUAUCUGCCGUGGGCGCUGGAGAAUUGAGGGGGGCUGCUCCUAGUACGAGAGGACCGGAGUGGACGCAUCACUGGUGUUCGGGUUGUCAUGCCAAUGGCACUGCCCGGUAGCUAAAUGCGGAAGAGAUAAGUGCUGAAAGCAUCUAAGCACGAAACUUGCCCCGAGAUGAGUUCUCCCUGAGACUUUAAGUCUCCUGAAGGAACGUUAAAGACGAUGACGUUGAUAGGCCGGGUGUGUAAGCGCAGCGAUGCGUUGAGCUAACCGGUACUAAUGAACCGUGAGGCUUAACCUU
rnacentral:rRNA from 1 species